GGAAUAAGUCCAUAUUCCACCUAGCUACAGAGAGCAGUGUUAAGAUACCUUCAUGCUACUGGUGCAUGUGACUGAGCUUCUGUCUAAUCCAGGAUUUUGCCCUGGGUGGUAAAAUCACUCAUUUCUGUGCUUGUAUAAGGAACACAAAGACAUUUCAGAAUCCUGCCAACACAGCUCAGAAUAGAGUUGGGAAUUUCCUUUAGAUUACAAUUGAACGACCUGAAAAGAACUCCUUCCUGAAAUGGUGACUCAGCAAAUAGGUCAAGAUACAAAUUUAUGUAUGAAUAAUGAGACACAAAAUAAGUUCCACCCUGGAGUAGAUACAAACUUCAAUUGCCUCUUACUCCUAGAGACCUUCAUCAUUAUUAUUUCUCUGUUCAUAAAGGAAUAUCGUGAUAGUGGAGCAAGGAGGGAAGAAACUAAGCAAAAGACAGAACUUGAGAAAAGUAAUGGAGCACUUCUGGAAGAAAUUGGAGCACUUCUGGAAGAAAUUGGAGAACUUCAUGGAAAAAUUGGUGAUAUUCCAGUGAAGGAGGAAUGAUUGAUAUUGUGAAUUCCAGAUGAAGACAUGUCCUCCCUGCUCUCAUAGUUUAUUUACUAAUUUAGUUCCUUUUGAAGGAAGGGGUAGAAGGAUGUAAAACAUUGCCACUGAUUGGUGAAAUAUCGUCUGGAACCUCAAGGUUCCAAUUUCAACAAAUACGAGUCCACUUGGACCACAGAGUAAAUUAGGAAACAAGUUCCAAUUUUUGAUCUCCUCCUUUCCUGACAUUGUGUUUUCAUUGGAAUAAACUGUUUUUUCUUCCUUUUAUUUUAGAGGAGAAUGAAAAUAAAACAAAUACCAGUAAUGUAUUCCAUUGUGUACCUUGUCAUUUUCUCAUAUAUUUUUUGUACCCUUGCCUUUGUCAUAAUGAUCAUCUACCUCAAUUCAAAUGUAUACAUCAUUUUAUGAUUUGUCUCAGUAUCUUACCUUUCCAAAUCAUCGUCUCUUCCUAUCAAUAUUUCCAUUAUUGUCUCUUUCAUUUGUCUUGUUUCAAUCAAGGAGGCAUCAUCUUUCUGACAAAUGAAUUCAUUAGUAAGAUGUGUGUAAAGCUGAAAUAUUUUUAAAGUUCUAAUGUGUUAGUUUUAUCCAAGAAGGAUUCACUUGAUUUAGAACCCUCUUCAUUGCUUCCUCUUCCUUUCCUACUAUGUAAUUUAGAAAUGAUGAGAUUUUUCUCACAAGAUGGGUAUGAGAUGACAUUAUUUUCUUUUUUCUGUGAAGAAAAUUGUACUAACAGGCAUCUAAAUUUAGAAAAGUUACAAUGUGGGAGACAGAGAUGAGUAUUAAUAGAUGUUUUAGACUAUCAAAUACAAAGAAGAUGGAAAAAGGACUACACAGUGGAUAUACAUGCCAAAGAGAUUUCCUCCAAGAAUAUAAGGCAAGGGCAGCCCCAGUAGCCCAGUGGUUUACCGCCGCCUUCCACCCAGGGUGUGAUCGAGUCCCACAUCGGGCUCCCUGAAUGGAGCCUGCUUCUCUCUCUGCCUGUGUCUCUGCCUCUCUCUCUAUGUCUAUCAUGAAUAAAUAAAUAAAUAAAUAAAUAAAUAAAUAAAUAAAUAAAUCUUUAAAAAAAAAAGAAUAUAAGACAAAACACCCCAGAUACCGAAGCAAACUUGAAAAAAGAAAAGCAAAUUGGAAACAUGAUUCUGAGCUUCAAGUUAUAUUACAAAACUGAACAAAACAGUAUGAUGCUGGUGCAAAAAUAGAUACAUAGAUCAAUGGAACAGAAUAGAAAGCCCAGAAAUGAUCCCACAAUUAUAUGGUCAAUUAAUCUUUUACAAACAAAAAAGAAUAUCCAAAAGAAAAAAGACAGUCUCUUCAACAAAUUCUGUUGUAAAAACUGGAUGGCAACAUGAAGAAGAAUGAAACUGGACCACUUUCUUACAUCAUACAUAAAAAUUAAUUGAAAUUGAAAAUGGACAAAAGACCGAAAUAUGAAAUAGGAAACCAUUAAAAUUGGUGAGGGGAACCAAGUCAACAACCUCUUUGACAUCAGCCAAAACUUCUUUCUAAAUGUGUAUCUGAGGCAAUGGAAACAAAAGCAAAAAUACUGGGACUUCAUCAAAAGAAAGGCGUCUGCACAUUGAAGGAAACAAACAAAAAGUGAAAAGGAAGAAGAUAUUUGCAAAUGACAUAUCUGAUAAAGGAGUAGUGUCCCAAAUGUAUAAAGAAUUUAUAUGACUCAACACCAAAAAAAUAAAUAACUCAAUUAAAAAAUUUGUCAGAAGACAUGAAUAGAUGAAGAAGACAAACAGAUGGCCAACAAACACAUGAAAAGUUGCUCAACAUCACUCAUCAUAAGGGAAAUACAAAUCAAAACUAUAAUGGGAUCCCACCUCACACCUGUCAAGUGGCUAAAAUCUAAGUAACAACAGGUGCUGGCAGGGAUGUGGAGAAAGGGGAACCCACACGCAUCGUUAGUGGGAAUGCAAACUGAUGCAGGCACUCUACAAAACAGCAUAGAGGUCCCUCAAAAAGUUAAAAAUAGAGCUACCUUAUGAUCCAGCAACUACACCACUAGAUAUUCACCCAAAUAAUACAAAAGUAUGAAUUCUAAGGGAUACAUGCACCCUAAUUUUUACAACAUUAUCUACAAUAGUCAAACUAUGGAAAUAGCCAUGUGUCCAUCAACUGAUGAAUGGAUAAAGAAGAUGUGAGAUAUAUACAUAUAUAUCAAAUGAAAUAUUACUUAGCUAUAAAAAGGAAUGAAAUCUUGCCAUUUGCAAUGAUGAGGAUGUAGCUAGAGAGUAUUAUGCUAAGCAAAGUAAGUCACUCAGAGAAAGAUGAAUAUGAUUUCCCAUAUGUGGAAUUUAAGAAAGAGAACAAAUGAACAUGGGGGAUAAAAAAGCCAGAGAGAGGUGAUCAAGAAACAGACUAUUAAGCAUACAUAACAAAUUUUUGGUUACCAGAGGGUAACUCAUGGAGAUGGGCUAACUAGAUGACAAGGAUUAAGGAGUGCACUUGUGAUGAAUAGCUGGUGUUGUAUGGAAGUGCUGAAUCACUAAGCAUACACCUAAAACUAAUAUUACACUAUAUAUUAACUAAUUUGAAUUUAAAUAAACUCUUAAAAAAGAGAAUGUAGGACAAUUAAAAGUCCUACAUACACAAAAUCUUGGAAUCAUAUAAAUUGUAUAAGGAUAUGAUUGUAUCCUUUCAAUUACUGCUUUUUACAAAAUGUCAAUUUAAUAAGUGAGCUAAUCUUUUGAAAUUUCCACGGAAGUUUCCUAAGGGAUGUCAAUAAAGCAUAAAGCCACAUUUUAGGGAAAAAAUAAAAUGAGUGUUUAAAACACACUCUUCUAACAUUUUGUUUAUACAAUCAGCAUUCAUUUUCCUCUAUAACUCAUCUUAAAAAUUUCAUUUCUUCCAAAUAUAUGAGUCAGUAAUCAACAUACAUUAUAUUUUCUGUUUGUUUUUAAAAGAUUUAUGUGCUGAGAAAUUCUCUGCUUAAUUGUAAAUUACUGGAAAUAGAAAGAUUUUAGUUAAAGCUCAUAACUUACUACUUUGACCUUCUGAAGUAAAUGAUAAAAUCCAAGACGAUAGAUUUUUAAAGCUAUUUUGGAAAGUCCUACCAAUUAACAGCUAAAUUAAAGUUUGUUAAAGUCAAAGAAUUAGAAAUAAUUUGAAUUGCAAAUGAUUAUACCCAGUCUCAGUCAGUGACAUUUUCUAAAAAGACCUUUUCAGGGGCACCUGGGUGGCUCAGUUGGUUAAGCGUCUGCCUUCAGCUCGGAUCAUGAUCCCAGAGUUCUGAGAUUGAGCCCCACUUCAGGGUCUCUGCUCAUGAGGGGACCCUGCUUCUCCUACUCUCUCUCCCCUGCCUCUCUCUGUUACUCUGUCUCUUGAAUAAAUAAAUAAAAUCUAAAAAAAAAAAAAACAUUUUAGGAUUUAUACAUAGUUUACCACUAAUUAUACAAAUAAUGUUUUCACUUAAAGGCAUCUUAUUUAGCCUGACAAAAAAAAGAAUUUUCAAAAUUAAUAAUCUACUUCAAUAAGCUACUAACAAGUUAACAUUUCUUAGGAAAUUAUGUUAUUAAAUAUAUAUUUUGGUCUAAACUUGAAUUAUUUAUAUACAUAAAACUGUCUAGAAGACAAAUAUGUUAGAUGAAAUUCUAGUAAUUCCUCUUUCCACAUCUUCAUCAUUCUUCUCUUAUUCAGUUAAUUGUCGAAAAAUUGUUCUCACUUUUCUAAGAUAAAAAUGUACUUAAUUGCUAUUUUUUUCAUGUUCUGUUUCUUGGUUUUGGGUUUGUUUGUUUCUGAUUGCAUUUAUGUUACCAAUAUGGUGUGCACUGAAAAUUUUCAACUCAUUUUCAUUUUCUUUGUUAGUUUUCCUUGACAUUUACUGACAUUUACAUGAGUUUUUUUCUUUUUGAGAAGGACUUCGGCAGGAGCUUGGUAACUUUCUUCUGGCAUUCUUUUUACUGAUGUCUUCCCUAAGAAUAUUUUUUUCUUUGCUUCCUUUCGUUCCUUUGAUUUAUUCUUAGGCUUCUAUCUUCCAGAUGAUUGUCAUAAUUUCAUUAUAAGUUUGGUGAGAUGAGGUGAUUAGGCUAAGAAGAAGUGGUUUUCUCCAUUUAAUAGAAAACUGCCCUUUAAAUUGAGUCCCCCAACAUGUGUUCUGAGACAAAGUGCCCAUCAUUUUGUAUAUAAUAUUGCCCCAGUUCUUAAUGGAUGGGUUCAGACUCCAAAGUUGCCAAGUGUGAGAAGUUCCUCCUUUUGGUGGCCUUUUACACACUUUGCAUAUUACUGACAUCAAGUGAAACCUUGACACAUGAGAGUCUCCUUCUCUUGACCAUAUUUCAAGUGGUCCAAGGUAUGUAAGUAUUUUUGGAUGCUUUGCCUGCUUACUGUCCCUUUCCAGUCAUAGUUAUUACUCCUCUUUCAUUUUUACUUGAAUUCAUUUAAUUAUUAAUUCAAUAAAUUGCUCUUCCUUCAUCCACUUUUUUCACUCAAAAUUCAUUGAUGACAUAUCACUAAAGUCUAAGGCAAUUUUCUAAGAUAUUCCUACACUGAUCACAUAAGAAGAAUUAUUUAAAUCUUCAUGUCCUACACUGUAUAGUAUACAGAUUGUAUUUUGCAAAUUGUAGUGAAGUUUUUACAUGGAAUGUACUUUAGAGAUUCCUUUAAUUGAUUUUGAAAUGAAUUUUGCUUGGCCAAUAUGCAGACACAAACAUUUAACUGUGUCUUCCUUAAGAUGUUAACAUCUAUAACAUACAUGUGUGUUUAUGUCUUUUCUCUCAGCUAGGAGGAAGGCUCAAUACAAGUUCG
rnacentral:lncRNA from 1 species